GAUGAACGCUGGCGGCGUGCCUAAUACAUGCAAGUCGAGCGAACGGACGAGAAGCUUGCUUCUCUGAUGUUAGCGGCGGACGGGUGAGUAACACGUGGAUAACCUACCUAUAAGACUGGGAUAACUUCGGGAAACCGGAGCUAAUACCGGAUAAUAUUUUGAACCGCAUGGUUCAAAAGUGAAAGACGGUCUUGCUGUCACUUAUAGAUGGAUCCGCGCUGCAUUAGCUAGUUGGUAAGGUAACGGCUUACCAAGGCAACGAUGCAUAGCCGACCUGAGAGGGUGAUCGGCCACACUGGAACUGAGACACGGUCCAGACUCCUACGGGAGGCAGCAGUAGGGAAUCUUCCGCAAUGGGCGAAAGCCUGACGGAGCAACGCCGCGUGAGUGAUGAAGGUCUUCGGAUCGUAAAACUCUGUUAUUAGGAAAGAACAUAUGUGUAAGUAACUGUGCACAUCUUGACGGUACCUAAUCAGAAAGCCACGGCUAACUACGUG
rnacentral:rRNA from 1 species